GAACAAUUUUUUGGUGUGAUUCUUCUGAACACAUAAAUGUGCACAAAAAAUUCUCUGUCAAAUCGAUACACAAUUCUUAACUGACAAUCUUAAGUUUUUAUGGUAUCAGAGCGAUUUUCCGAUGGAUCUAAAUUGUGAGAAUGAGAGGAAACUGGCACAUAACGAAAUAGUAGCUCGUGAUGGGAAAUCGAACGGAUGAUGAACUGCAAAAUCAGGUUGGAAUUUGGAAUGCAAACAUCUCAGAUCCAGAACCAAAUUGAUGAUUAUAAGAAUCUUUAGGGAUGGACUAUCCUGGAUCGGCGAACUUUACAGGAAUCAGUUCCAGUUUCUUCUUGCCAAGUUGGGCAUGACAAACUUCUGUCGUUAUCCACUUGAGCAUGAAGGAAACUGACAGGUAUAUUGAGCUUGAAGAGAGCCUCUGCCGUACUUAGGAACAUCUGACUUUUUAUGACUGUCUCCUUGAGGAAUCUCUCUUCUCUGAACUUUCCCGGUACCAGUUCUCUUCUGUGUGGCUGAGAUCUCUAUUGGCUUUGCUUCUGCUAGCAGUGGAUUGCUACUUCCUUUUGCGAUAUCAAUUUGUAGCUCUCUUUCAGUUUUGCAUGAAUCAUGACUUUGUCUUUCUAACCUGGGACUUUGUUGAUAGACUGCAGUCUUCUGCAAGUUAUCAAUUAUGAGGGCAGCAUCUUGAUGUCGUCUGUUUACUGGGUCUCUCAAGGGAACUUUUUCAAUCAGUUUAAUGGAUCUCCCAUCACCAGGAGUGGAUUUGUCACGUGAUAACUUCUUCUGCAGAUUCAUGGCUGUAGUUCUCUUGAUUUUUGGAGCAUUUAUGUGUUCCACUUGUUGGGCCUCAUGGAUUUUUGCCUGUUUCUGAAGCUGCUGAGGUUUAUGGUCUACAACAGAACGAUCAGGUCUUUUAGGCACCUGUUCUUGAAGGACUGCAUGUUGAUCCUGGACAUUUUGUUGAUUUUGUGCAACAUAGUUGUUUGCAUUCCUCUUUUCUAGCGAAUUUGCACGGAACUCUUGCUCAAUCCUAUUGCUUGUUUUGUCUUCUGCUUUGAGCAUUAUGCUGCUUUGUGCCCUUUUCUGCAGCUCAGUAUUCAAGACUAGCAUUUUUCCUUCUCCCUCAACGGCUUUGCUCUGUUUAUCCUCUCCAUGAGUUUGUUUCCUCGUGCUGUCUUUAAAGCUUGUGAGUCCAUUGACAUGAUUCAUGUGAUUUUGUUGUUUCUUCAUCACGAUGUUUGCUGGUUUCAGCUCCGGCGCUGCCUCCAUGCCAACUGCUUGCAUUUUCAAAUCUUUCUGCGGCUGGUUCCUCUCGGAGUUUACAAUUUUAGAGCCGCCAUCCAGUGUUUCCUGGCUCUUUUCAGGUUUGAUUUGUUGCUUGGAUUCUCUUCUUGGCAGGGAAUUGUUGGUUGAAUUCAACUUCGUGUUGGUGCUAAGAUCAGAUCCAUUCCUACUCUCUCUAGUCAAAGGUUUUUUCUGCUUAGCACUUUCGCUUGAAACUUUCCCUUGCUUCAAACCCUUCCCCUUUGAAUCAUUUUUCCCGCCUAUCAAGCCCUCCUUCAGAGGAAUUUCUUCAAGCCCCAUAAGUUUAGCUAUGACAUUUGAAAUCCUUCCCUUCUCUUGAGUGGACUUUGAUGAGCUUAGGUUAUUAUGAGGGGAGAGACUGAAAUCUUGGACAUAGCUAUUAGACCGCCUAUGAGGAACCAGCUGCGAGUUGCUGAUAAUAGGUUGUUCCGAAGUUUCAUGUUUAUAUGGUAGGGCUAGUUGUUGCCGUCUUGUUGCACCUUGGACAGCUCGGGGGUUCCCAGAGGUUUUAUCAAAGGAGAAUCUAGGCCUAUCCAGUUUCCACUGCUCGACUCUUUUCUCAUUGUCAUCUUCAUCAUCCUCAUCCUCCUCCAGUAACUUUAUACGACCUUUCCUCUGUGACCCGUUCGUGUAUUCUGAAGCGUCCUGUAAGUUCACGAGCAUCCUCAGGGACUCUUCCAAAUCAAUGGCACCUUUCAACAAUUCUCUCCCAAUUUCUAUCGAGUUUCUGUCCAAGUUAAGGCCGUUGGAGCAGGCACUUAGAAUCUGGUUUAGCUUGUGAACCCCUUUUGAUAUUUCAUUGACAUGGAUGUGAGAGCCUGUGGGAAACUGAGCCGCUGAGCUGUGAUUGUAGAAGCUGGUAGUCUCCAUUUUCCUGGAGUUUGGCGAUCUUCGACCAAAACGGUUGAAGAAAUUUACUAGUGGAUUACUGCUGGAACCGCCAAUGCUACUGAGAUUUCCACUAUUCUCAAAGGCAAAAGCUAUGGCCAUGGACAGAUCCCUGACUUGCCUUGAGCUUUGCCCGCCCUCGUAGAGAACGAGCUGGCUUGCAGUUUCUUUCGUAUUGACUGAUCUGCUGCCUCCCGUGGACCUUCUGCUAGUGUUUCCUGUCAUAGAACCAGUCUGCAGGAAUAGCUAUCAGACCACUUGUUUCUGCUCAAUCACUUAAAAAAGACCAUUAACACUUACGGAAUCUAGGACAUUCAUUUGUCGUGUGCCUCUCGAUGUCUGCCCGGCACUUCCACGUGUAACUGUUGGUUCAGAGAUUCAUGAGAUGUUAAAGGUAACUGAUUCUUGAUAUAUGAUUUGGCCAUUAAGAGUCUGAGACAUAUUGGAACUUUAUAGUGAAGAGGAAAAGAGAAUUUCACCUCUAGAUGCUUGGCUCGACUGUCUACUCGAAUUCUGUGUGGCAGCCAUCCUUUCCUUCCGCUGCCGAAGAUCAUUGAGCAGCUUCUGUGCAAAAUCUGGUCUCGUCGUCAUGUUGCUCGUUCGAAAAAGAAAAAAAAAUAACAAAAAAAAGAUCUAGGUGUUUCUGCAAACGAGUUGUUUAAAAUUUUUAGUGUUUCUGCAAAUGAGUUGUGCCUAUUCUUUGGUGAGAAGGUUGUGUCAGUGCUUGGUGAGAUGUAAUGUAGGUGGAGGAUGCAAUCAAAUUUGUAUUUUCUGUUUUCUCAUUUUAUUUGUUUGGGUUACGUGUGAUUUGUUGAAGGUUGAUGUAAACAUUAUGAGUUGCUCUUGGUGGAGACUUGGAAUAAUUUGCUUCCAUUCCACUCCAAGCAAUGGAGAGCUGCAGCUUUAGGUUUAUGGCUUCUAAAUUAAGAUUUCUUCUCUCAAA